rnacentral:lncRNA from 1 species
GGAAUAUAGAAACAUAAAAGGAAGAGACCAGCAUAGUCUAGAUUUAUUCCCUUCUUGGCAUUUGGAAGGAUUGGUUCCUGAGAUUCCUUUCUUGGCUUGGAGGAGACCUUUUACCUGGAUCCUUCAUUGACUUGCUUGGUGUCAACAAUGAUGCCCUACUGAACCUGGGAGAUUAAAGUAUGAGGACCUUGGAGCCAGAAUGAGACUCUGAAGAAAAAAGCUGACAGAUUUACUCUGUAGCUUCUAGUUAUUGGCUUCAACUUGAAGACUUGGGCUUAGCUCUGAAGAUCUUUUCAAAUUAUUAACAAUAUUUCCUUAAAGACAAUUCAACUCUACUUUUUGAUAUUGAAUCUAUAAUAGAUUAGGGAAACCCAA